rnacentral:tRNA from 2 species
GCGCCCGUAGCUCAGUGGAUAGAGCAUCUGGCUUCGAACCAGAGGGUCGGGGGUUCAAAUCCCUCCGGGCGUGCCA